CCUGGUGGCUCAGAUGGUAAAGCAUCUGCCUGCAAUGUGGGAGACCCGGGUUCGAUCCCUGGGCCAGGA
rnacentral:tRNA from 1 species